rfam:Haemonchus placei strain MHpl1 genome assembly, scaffold: HPLM_scaffold0007685
GACACAAACUUGAAGUAGAGUGGGUUAGUAUGGUCAGCUGAUCCUAUUGACCUACCAUACUUCAAGUUUGGGCUC